GACGAGCGCUGGCGGCGUGCCUAAUACAUGCAAGUUGAGCGAUGAAGAUUGGUGCUUGCACCAAUUUGAAGAGCAGCGAACGGGUGAGUAACGCGUGGGGAAUCUGCCUUUGAGCGGGGGACAACAUUUGGAAACGAAUGCUAAUACCGCAUAAUAACUUUAAACAUAAGUUUUAAGUUUGAAAGAUGCAAUUGCAUCACUCAAAGAUGAUCCCGCGUUGUAUUAGCUAGUUGGUGAGGUAAAGGCUCACCAAGGCGAUGAUACAUAGCCGACCUGAGAGGGUGAUCGGCCACAUUGGGACUGAGACACGGCCCAAACUCCUACGGGAGGCAGCAGUAGGGAAUCUUCGGCAAUGGACGAAAGUCUGACCGAGCAACGCCGCGUGAGUGAAGAAGGUUUUCGGAUCGUAAAACUCUGUUGGUAGAGAAGAAUGUUGGUGAGAGUGGAAAGCUCAUCAAGUGACGGUAACUACCCAGAAAGGGACGGCUAACUACGUG
rnacentral:rRNA from 1 species